rnacentral:rRNA from 1 species
CCUACGGGGUGCACCAGUGGGGAAUAUUGGACAAUGGGGGCAACCCUGAUCCAGCCAUGCCGCGUGAGUGACGAAGGCCUUCGGGUCGUAAAGCUCUGUCCUCAAGGAAGAUAAUGACGGUACUUGAGGAGGAAGCCCCGGCUAACUACGUGCCAGCAGCCGCGGUAAUACGCAGGGGGCUAGCGUUAUCCGGAAUUACUGGGCGUAAAGGGUGCGUAGGUGGUUUCUUAAGUCAGAGGUGAAAGGCUACGGCUCAACCGUAGUAAGCCUUUGAAACUGGAAAACUUGAGUGCAGGAGAGGAGAGUGGAAUUCCUAGUGUAGCGGUGAAAUGCGUAGAUAUUAGGAGGAACACCAGUUGCGAAGGCGGCUCUCUGGACUGUAACUGACACUGAGGCACGAAAGCGUGGGGAGCAAACAGGAUUAGAUACCCCCGUAGUC